rnacentral:rRNA from 1 species
UAUGCCCAUACCACCCUGAACGCACCUGAUCUCAUCUGAUCUCGGAAGCUAAGCAGGGUCGGACCUGGUUAGUACUUGGAUGGGAGAAUAU